UUUAUGGAGGAGAUUGGUGUCGUAGUCUUCAUGGUGUGAAGAGAAAGAACAAAAGUGAGAAGAAACCUUUGGAGAUUAUGCUUCCCAUUUCUUGAGAGUGAGAAGAAACCUUUGCAAUGCCUUUACAUGGUUGGUGUUCGUAUUGGAGAGACGACUUGAUGUUGGAGGCUUGGAGCAUUAUCUAUAAGAAGAAGUUGCAAAUUUGCUUUUAUUAUGUUGUAUUUGAUUCAAGACUUGUUAGUUUUUGAAUUUUUGAUGCCUUUAGACUAUUUGAAUGUGCAUUUUCGAGUCUAAUCGAUGUUUUGGAUAUCUAA